GAGGACUUCGGUCCUAGUGGCGAACGGUCGCGUAACACGUAAGCAACCUGCCCUGAAGUGGGGGACAACAUCCCGAAAGGGGUGCUAAUACCGCAUGUGGUCACGAGUCGGCAUCGACUUGUGUCUAAAGAUUUAUCGCUUCAGGAUGGGCUUGCGGCCUAUCAGGUAGUUGGUGGGGUAAUGGCCUGCCAAGCCGACGACGGGUAGCUGGUCUGAGAGGACGAUCAGCCGGAUUGGGACUGAGAUACGGCCCAGACUCCUACGGGGGGCAGCAAUUAGGAAUCUUGCGCAAUGGGGGAAACCCUGACGCAGCGACGUCGCGUGAAGGAUGAAGGCCCUCGGGUCGUAAACUUCUUUUGAGUGGGAAGAAAUUUGACGGUACCACUCGAAUAAGCCCCGGCUAACUACGUGCCAGCAGCCGCGGUAAUACGUAGGGGGCGAGCGUUGUCCGAAGUUACUGGGCGUAAAGCGCGCGUAGGCGGUUAUUUAAGUCUGGGGUGAAAG
rnacentral:rRNA from 1 species